rnacentral:rRNA from 1 species
GAUGAACACUGGCGGCGUGCCUAAUACAUGCAAGUCGAACGCAUAGCGAAAGGUGCUUGCACCUUUCAAGUGAGUGGCGAACGGGUGAGUAACACGUGGACAACCUGCCUCAAGGCUGGGGAUAACAUUUGGAAACAGAUGCUAAUACCGAAUAAAACUUAGUGUCGCAUGACACAAAGUUAAAAGGCGCUUCGGCGUCACCUAGAGAUGGAUCCGCGGUGCAUUAGUUAGUUGGUGGGGUAAAGGCCUACCAAGUCAAUGAUGCAUAGCCGAGUUGAGAGACUGAUCGGCCACAUUGGGACUGAGACACGGCCCAAACUCCUACGGGAGGCUGCAGUAGGGAAUCUUCCACAAUGGGCGAAAGCCUGAUGGAGCAACGCCGCGUGUGUGAUGAAGGCUUUCGGGUCGUAAAGCACUGUUGUAUGGGAAGAACAGCUAGAAUAGGAAAUGAUUUUAGUUUGACGGUACCAUACCAGAAAGGGACGGCUAAAUACGUG